GCCUUUUGAAGUUGUGUGGUGUUACUCUGUGUGGGCUGAUGCUUGAAGCCUUCUGCAAUUGUGUGCCCUGUGUGUAUGAACACACAGGAGACAUUUUGAAGGGAAAAGAAAGCAGUCAGGAAUGAAGUUUGAUUAUUUAUGGUGAGCAGAUGGAUUUAGAAAGUCUGCCUGCUGAGACAGAGGCAUGACUCUGCAAAUCAGGUUAUACUGAUACUUACCUCCAUUUUCUGAGGCAGAUUCUUCACUCCAUAUAUAUGAUUUAUUCAUGCCAAGUUUUCUUGGACCUCAAUAAGAAUUUUUCCUGACUCUCCCCUGCCCUCCUCUGCUGUAGACUCAAAUGCUUUCUCUUCCAUGCCAUGAAGAUCAGAUGAAUUAAAGCUACUUCAGACCUUUUUGGUCUUGGUAGCCUGGGAAAGUCAUGCCUUCCAACAGUUUUAUUUAUUGACGUCUAUCUGUGGCCUUUGGAACUUACGUGGUGAAAAAAUGACCUUCAGAUCCUGGGAAGGGAUCCCAUAGUUCCUUUCACGUUUUGUAGCUCUUUUUUUUCAUAUCUUUUGGUGUCUACAGCUGUGAAGACUGCUUUGCUUGGUUUUCCAAAACAAUUUUUAAACGUUGGUUGACAAUCGUGUUGUUGUUGCUCAGCAUGAGAGAUCGUUUCUGAAUGGAGGGCAUGAAGUGGUUUCCAUUGCUGCCAUCUCCUGGCACAGUUAAUGAACUCCACACAGCAAUAACAAAGGCACAUUAGUGGGGAAGAGAAAUUAAACAUACUAAAAUAGCAUAUAAAUUUUCCUGAAGGCAGCUGGUAGAUGCCAGGAAAGCAUUUUAAAAGAUAAUACACACCAGAAGGACCACUGCCAGAUGGAAAUUUCAAUGUCAAAGGAAUUGCCUUUCUUGUUGUUGUAGUACCAAUGUAACAUCCAGGAUGAUAUUAGAAAACAUAUGGAAAAAAAUUGUAUUUCUCUGUGUUUUGGUAGGCGUUUGACACAAUGACUCUGCAAUCAAUUUUAU